rnacentral:lncRNA from 1 species
UUGUCUUCGAGGUCUCCCACGAUUUCCUGAGGUGUUUGGGGUAUUUGCGUGCUGACCUGAUCCAAUGAUGGUAGGUAUGAAGGUCCGGCGGAAGUUCUAACAGUAUUUGAUAGAUGUGUCAUCAUUUGUUCCUAAUAGCCGAGGGGCUUUAGCCAACGACGCUUCCAUAAUGGAGUUCGGUGCCCAUGUUAUCGUAGUUAGGUUGAUGUGGUUGGGUGGAUUGUGGA